UACGAAGGGGGCUAGCGUUGCUCGGAAUCACUGGGCGUAAAGGGUGCGUAGGCGGGUCUUUAAGUCCGGGGUUAAAUCCUGGAGCUCAACUCCAGAACUGCCUUUGAUACUGAGGAUCUUGAGUUCGGGAGAGGUGAGUGGAACUGCGAGUGUAGAGGUGAAAUUCGUAGAUAUUCGCAAGAACACCAGUGGCGAAGGCGGCUCACUGGCCCGAUACUGACGCUGAGGCACGAAAGCGUGGGGAGCAAACAGG
rnacentral:rRNA from 1 species